rnacentral:rRNA from 1 species
AUGCCGAUGGAGAGAACAGCCAUGCCCAUGGCCGGCCUCUUCCGGUCACCUCAUCCCUCCAUCUACGCUCCUCCACCACCGUCACCUCACCGGGUGCCACCAAUCCGCCGCGCCACCACGAGAAUUAGAAGCAGCAGCAGCAGCAUCAACAGCGAGUCCUCCUCCACCAACACCAACACCACCACCAAAACCGCCACGACGGUGAAACUGACGUACCUAGAGUUCAACGGGUGGCUGUGGGAGCUGGACGGCGGCCGCUUCCGCGUCCUCGUCGACCCGCUCCUCGUCGGCAACCUCGACUUCGGCAUGCCCUGGCUCUUCGACGGCGCCAAGAAGACGCUCCCCAAAGACGGCCUCCAGGACCUCCAGGAGGACCUCGCCGUCGUCGACCUGCUCCUCAUCACCUCCAGUCUCGAUGACCACUGCCACGUCCGCACGCUCACCCGCCUCGCCGCCAUCUCCCCCGACCUCCCCGUCGUUGCCACGCCGAACGCGCGCCCCAUCCUCGCCGCCCUCCCCUUCAACGACGUCAUCUACCUGGAGCCGGGCCAGUCCACCACGGUCGUCGGUGCCACCACCGACUCCGAAGCCACGGUGCUGGCCACCCCCGGCCCCGUAAACGGGCCGCCGUGGCAGCGCCCGGAGAACAGCUACAUGGUCACCACCACCGGAAAGGGACAGCGCAAACACAACAUCUACUAUGAGCCGCACUGCAUGUACAACGCCGGCUUCCUGCGCGACCGCGGGCUGCACGCCGACGUGGUCAUCACGCCCGUCGUCAAGCAGCAACUCCUGGCCACCUUCACCCUCGUGUCCGGCCAGGAGGACGCCGUUGAGCUCGCCCGGCUGCUCCGCGCCGCGUACAUAGUGCCCAUGAGCAACGGCGAGUGCGACGCAAAGGGGCUCCUCACCGCCGUCAUCUCCACCCAGGGCACCACGCAAACCUUCAAGGACCUGCUUGCCGACGCGCUCCCCCAAACGCAGGUCGUCCAGCCCACCCCCAGCGUCCCGCUCUACCUCCACUUCCAGGACGACAACAACACUUCAGCACCAUCGUCGUGGUCAUCAUAA